rnacentral:rRNA from 1 species
AGGAUGAACGCUAGCGGCAGGCUUAAUACAUGCAAGUCGAGGGGCAGCACGGGUAGCAAUACCUGGUGGCGACCGGCAAACGGGUGCGGAACACGUACGCAACCUUCCCAUAACUGGUGAAUAGCCUUCCGAAAGGAAGAUUAAUACACCGUAAUAUAAUGAAGUGGCAUCACUUUAUUAUCAUAGGCUUCGGCCGGUUUUGGAUGGGCGUGCGCCUGAUUAGGUAGUUGGCGGGGUAACGGCCCACCAAGCCUGCGAUCAGUAACUGGUGUGAGAGCACGACCAGUCACACGGGCACUGAGACACGGGCCCGACUCCUACGGGAGGCAGCAGUAAGGAAUAUUGGUCAAUGGACGAAAAGUCUGAACCAGCCAUGCCGCGUGAAGGAUUAAGGCCCUCUGGGUUGUAAACUUCUUUUAUCUGGACGAAAAAAGGGUAUUCUUACUCAUUGACGGUACAGAAGAAUAAGCACGGCUAACUCCGUGCUAGCAGCCGCGGU